CCUCUCGUAGUUAGUGGUCAGAACAUUGGUGCGUAAAGCCAAAGGUCCCGGGUUCGAUUCCCGGCGGGGGUG
rnacentral:tRNA from 1 species